rnacentral:rRNA from 1 species
GGUUAAGCGACUAAGCGUACACGGUGGAUGCCCUGGCAGUCAGAGGCGAUGAAGGGCGUGCUAAUCUGCGAUAAGCGCCGGUAAGGUGAUAUGAACCGUUAUAACCGGCGAUACCCGAAUGGGGAAACCCAGUGUGAUUCGUCACACUAUCAUUAACUGAAUCCAUAGGUUAAUGAGGCGAACCGGGGGAACUGAAACAUCUAAGUACCCCGAGGAAAAGAAAUCAACCGAGAUUCCCCCAGUAGCGGCGAGCGAACGGGGAGGAGCCCAGAGCCUGAAUCAGCAUGUGUGUUAGUGGAAGCGUCUGGAAAGGCGCGCGAUACAGGGUGACAGCCCCGUACACAAAAGCGCAUGUGCUGUGAGCUCGAUGAGUAGGGCGGGACACGUGGUAUCCUGUCUGAAUAUGGGGGGACCAUCCUCCAAGGCUAAAUACUCCUGACUGACCGAUAGUGAACCAGUACCGUGAGGGAAAGGCGAAAAGAACCCCGGCGAGGGGAGUGAAAAAGAACCUGAAACCGUGUACGUACAAGCAGUGGGAGCACAGGUUUACCUGUGUGACUGCGUACCUUUUGUAUAAUGGGUCAGCGACUUAUAUUCUGUAGCAAGGUUAACCGAAUAGGGGAGCCGGAGGGAAACCGAGUCUUAAUUGGGCGUUAAGUUGCAGGGUAUAGACCCGAAACCCGGUGAUCUAGCCAUGGGCAGGUUGAAGGUUGGGUAACACUAACUGGAGGACCGAACCGACUAAUGUUGAAAAAUUAGCGGAUGACCUGUGGCUGGGGGUGAAAGGCCAAUCAAACCGGGAGAUAGCUGGUUCUCCCCGAAAGCUAUUUAGGUAGCGCCUCGUGAAUUCAUCUCCGGGGGUAGAGCACUGUUUCGGCUAGGGGGCCAUCCCGGCUUACCAACCCGAUGCAAACUGCGAAUACCGGAGAAUGUUAUCACGGGAGACACACGGCGGGUGCUAACGUCCGUCGUGAAGAGGGAAACAACCCAGACCGCCAGCUAAGGUCCCAAAGUCAUGGUUAAGUGGGAAACGAUGUGGGAAGGCCCAGACAGCCAGGAUGUUGGCUUAGAAGCAGCCAUCAUUUAAAGAAAGCGUAAUAGCUCACUGGUCGAGUCGGCCUGCGCGGAAGAUGUAACGGGGCUAAACCAUGCACCGAAGCUGCGGCAGCGACGCUUAUGCGUUGUUGGGUAGGGGAGCGUUCUGUAAGCCUGUGAAGGUGGCCUGUGAGGGUUGCUGGAGGUAUCAGAAGUGCGAAUGCUGACAUAAGUAACGAUAAAGCGGGUGAAAAGCCCGCUCGCCGGAAGACCAAGGGUUCCUGUCCAACGUUAAUCGGGGCAGGGUGAGUCGACCCCUAAGGCGAGGCCGAAAGGCGUAGUCGAUGGGAAACGGGUUAAUAUUCCCGUACUUGGUGUUACUGCGAAGGGGGACGGAGAAGGCUAUGUUGGCCGGGCGACGGUUGUCCCGGUUUAAGCGUGUAGGUGUGUGUUCCAGGUAAAUCCGGUUCACUUUAACACUGAGGCGUGAUGACGAGGCACUACGGUGCUGAAGUAACAAAUGCCCUGCUUCCAGGAAAAGCCUCUAAGCAUCAGGUAACAUCAAAUCGUACCCCAAACCGACACAGGUGGUCAGGUAGAGAAUACCAAGGCGCUUGAGAGAACUCGGGUGAAGGAACUAGGCAAAAUGGUGCCGUAACUUCGGGAGAAGGCACGCUGACACGUAGGUGAAGUGAUUUACUCAUGGAGCUGAAGUCAGUCGAAGAUACCAGCUGGCUGCAACUGUUUAUUAAAAACACAGCACUGUGCAAACACGAAAGUGGACGUAUACGGUGUGACGCCUGCCCGGUGCCGGAAGGUUAAUUGAUGGGGUCAGCGCAAGCGAAGCUCCUGAUCGAAGCCCCGGUAAACGGCGGCCGUAACUAUAACGGUCCUAAGGUAGCGAAAUUCCUUGUCGGGUAAGUUCCGACCUGCACGAAUGGCGUAAUGAUGGCCAGGCUGUCUCCACCCGAGACUCAGUGAAAUUGAACUCGCUGUGAAGAUGCAGUGUACCCGCGGCAAGACGGAAAGACCCCGUGAACCUUUACUAUAGCUUGACACUGAACAUUGAGCCUUGAUGUGUAGGAUAGGUGGGAGGCUUUGAAGCGUGGACGCCAGUCUGCGUGGAGCCGACCUUGAAAUACCACCCUUUAAUGUUUGAUGUUCUAACGUGGACCCGUGAUCCGGGUUGCGGACAGUGUCUGGUGGGUAGUUUGACUGGGGCGGUCUCCUCCUAAAGAGUAACGGAGGAGCACGAAGGUUGGCUAAUCCUGGUCGGACAUCAGGAGGUUAGUGCAAUGGCAUAAGCCAGCUUGACUGCGAGCGUGACGGCGCGAGCAGGUGCGAAAGCAGGUCAUAGUGAUCCGGUGGUUCUGAAUGGAAGGGCAAUCGCUCAACGGAUAAAAGGUACUCCGGGGAUAACAGGCUGAUACCGCCCAAGAGUUCAUAUCGACGGCGGUGUUUGGCACCUCGAUGUCGGCUCAUCACAUCCUGGGGCUGAAGUAGGUCCCAAGGGUAUGGCUGUUCGCCAUUUAAAGUGGUACGCGAGCUGGGUUUAGAACGUCGUGAGACAGUUCGGUCCCUAUCUGCCGUGGGCGCUGGAGAACUGAGGGGGCUGCUCCUAGUACGAGAGGACCGGAGUGGACGCAUCACUGGUGUUCGGGUUGUCAUGCCAAUGGCACUGCCCGGUAGCUAAAUGCGGAAGAGAUAAGUGCUGAAAGCAUCUAAGCACGAAACUUGCCCCGAGAUGAGUUCUCCCUGAGACUUAGAGUCUCCUGAAGGAACGUUGAAGACGACGACGUUGAUAGGCCGGGUGUGUAAGCGCAGCGAUGCGUUGAGCUAACCGGUACUAAUGAACCGUGAGGCUUAACCUU